rnacentral:rRNA from 1 species
AUACGGAGGGUGCAAGCGUUAAUCGGAAUUACUGGGCGUAAAGAGUACGUAGGUGGUUUGUUAAGUCAGAUGUGAAAGCCCCGGGCUCAACCUGGGAACUGCAUUUGAAACUGGCAAACUAGAGUAUGGUAGAGGGGGGUAGAAUUUCUAGUGUAGCGGUGAAAUGCGUAGAUAUUAGAAGGAAUACCAGUGGCGAAGGCGGCCCCCUGGACCAAUACUGACACUGAGGUACGAAAGCGUGGGUAGCGAACAGGAUUAGAAACCCCAGUAGUCC